AUUUAAACUAGUUUUUGUGUCUCCUUUUGUGUGUCCAUUCAUCAACGAUGUCAAGAGCUCGGAUAAUCCUCAAAGAACCUUGUGUCAGCUUCGUCUCUGUUUGAAGCUCCUCUAUGUUCUCCCUGGAGUCCAGUAUUAAGAGUUUGUGUUGGAACACAAUGAGUUCCAGACUGGUACAGCUGAUAGAGCUUCACCAUGAGAGACCAAUCUUUCCCAGUACAUUAAGUGUCAUUAAUGUUGGAUGACAGGGCAUUGCUGAACAUCUAACCUGUAGGUACUGCCGGCCGCAAUGCUCCAGGCAGGAAAGGAUGUGGAAUACAAAGGAACUUACAGUUCUUCUCAGUGGCUUGGUGUAU
rnacentral:lncRNA from 1 species